rnacentral:rRNA from 1 species
GACGAACGCUGGCGGCGUGCCUAAUACAUGCAAGUCGAGCGGGCCUCCGGAGGUGCUUGCACCUCCGGACGGCCAGCGGCGGACGGGUGAGUAACACGUGGGCAACCUGCCUUUGAGGCCGGGAUAACACCGGGAAACCGGUGCUAAUACCGGAUACGUCCUCUUUCGCGCCUGCGAGAGGGGAGAAAGACGGUCUUUAAGGCCGUCGCUCAAAGAGGGGCCCGCGGCGCAUUAGCUGGUUGGGGGGGCAAGGGCCUACCAAGGCGACGAUGCGUUGCCGACCUGAGAGGGUGAUCGGCCACACUGGGACUGAGACACGGCCCAGACUCCUGCGGGAGGCAGCAGUAGGGAAUCAUCCGCAAUGGGCGAGAGCCUGACGGUGCAACGCCGCGUGAGUGAGGAAGGUUUUCGGAUCGUAAAGCUCUGUUGUGAGGGAAGAACAGCAUCCGGAGGAAAUGCCGGAGGUUUGCCGGUACCUCACCAGAAAGCCCCGGCUAACUACGUGCCAGCAGCCGCGGUAAAAC